rnacentral:rRNA from 1 species
AUGAUUAAAGAUAGCUUGCUAUUUUUAUGAAGAGCGGCGAACGGGUGAGUAACGCGUGGGAAAUCUGCCGAGUAGCGGGGGACAACGUUUGGAAACGAACGCUAAUACCGCAUAACAAUGAGAAUCGCAUGAUUCUUAUUUAAAAGAAGCAAUUGCUUCACUACUUGAUGAUCCCGCGUUGUAUUAGCUAGUUGGUAGUGUAAAGGACUACCAAGGCGAUGAUACAUAGCCGACCUGAGAGGGUGAUCGGCCACACUGGGACUGAGACACGGCCCAGACUCCUACGGGAGGCAGCAGUAGGGAAUCUUCGGCAAUGGGGGCAACCCUGACCGAGCAACGCCGCGUGAGUGAAGAAGGUUUU